rnacentral:rRNA from 1 species
UCCGGGAGGGGCAAUCGUUAUUCGGCUUGACUGGGCGUAAAGGGUUCGUAGACUGUAAAAUAAGUUACUUGUUAAACUUUAAAGCUUAACUUUAAAUCAGCUUGUAAUACUGUUUUACUUGAGUUUUAUACAGAAGAGUAGAAUUUUAUACGUAAGGGUAAAAUCUAAAGAUAUAUAAAGGAAUGCCAGUAGCGAAGGCGACUCUUUGGUAAAAACUGACGUUGAGGAACGAAAGUAUGGGGAGUAAACAGG